GGUCAGGCAUGGCCUUUAUAUCCUGGGCUACACACACGCUACAAUGGGAAGGGACAAUAGGUUGCGAAGCCGCGAGGCGGAGCCAAGUCCAGCAAAACUUCCCUCAGUUCAGAUUGCAGGCUGCAACUCGCCUGCAUGAAGUUGGAGUUGCUAGUAAACGCAGGUCAGCCAUACUGCGUUGAAUACGUUCCCGGGGCUU
rnacentral:rRNA from 1 species